rnacentral:misc_RNA from 1 species
UCCUCGUUACCGAGGCAGUCUCGCUAGACAUACUAACUAGCGACGAGGGUUGCGCUCGUUCCCGGACUUAACCGGACACCUUGCGGCACGAGCUGACGACGGCCAUGCAGCACCUGUCACCGAGCUCCUCUUGCGAGGCACCCUCUCCUUUCGGAAAGGUUCUCGGGAUGUCAAGCCUAGGUAAGAUUCUUGGCUUAUUAUCCAAUUAAUCGAGGCAAUCCACUGCUUGUGUGUUCCCCCGCCUAUCCCUUUGAGUUUCAGCCUUGCGACUAUACUACUCAGGCGACUCGCUUAACGCGUUAGCUUACGACACUCCACCGCCGAAGCAGUGAAACAUCUAGCGAGCAUCAUUUACAGUCUGGACUAC